AGAGUUUGAUCCUGGCUCAGGAUAAACGCUGGCGGCGCACAUAAGACAUGCAAGUCGAACGAACUUAACCAUUAGUUUACUAUUGGAGCGGUUAGUGGCGGACUGGUGAGUAACACGUAAGCAACCUGCCUAUCAGAGGGGAACAACAGUUAGAAAUGACUGCUAAUACCGCAUAUGCCUUGAGUAUCACAUGGUACAAAAGGGAAAGGAGCAAUCCGCUGAUAGAUGGGCUUGCGUCUGAUUAGAUAGUUGGUGAGGUAACGGCCCACCAAGUCGACGAUCAGUAGCCGGACUGAGAGGUUGAACGGCCACAUUGGGACUGAGAUACGGCCCAGACUCCUACGGGAGGCAGCAGUGGGGAAUAUUGCACAAUGGGGGAAACCCUGAUGCAGCAACGCCGCGUGAAGGAUGACGGUUUUCGGAUUGUAAACUUCUUUUCUUAGUGACGAAGACAGUGACGGUAGCUAAGGAAUAAGCAUCGGCUAACUACGUGCCAGCAGCCGCGGUAAUACGUAGGAUGCAAGCGUUAUCCGGAUUUACUGGGUGUAAAGGGAGCGCAGGCGGGACUGCAAGUUGGGUGUGAAAUACCGUGGCUUAACCACGGAACUGCAUCCAAAACUGUAGUUCUUGAGUGAAGUAGAGGCAAGCGGAAUUCCGAGUGUAGCGGUGAAAUGCGUAGAUAUUCGGAGGAACACCAGUGGCGAAGGCGGCUUGCUGGGCUUUAACUGACGCUGAGGCUCGAAAGUGUGGGGAGCAAACAGGAUUAGAUACCCUGGUAGUCCACACUGUAAACGAUGAUAGCUAGGUGUGGGGGGUCUGACCCCUUCCGUGCCGGAGUUAACGCAAUAAGCUAUCCACCUGGGGAGUACGACCGCAAGGUUGAAACUCAAAGGAAUUGACGGGGGCC
rnacentral:rRNA from 1 species